GACGAACGCUGGCGGCGUGCCUAAUACAUGCAAGUCGCACGAGUGGCGGCCGGGUGAGUAAUGUCUGGGAAACUGCCAGAUGGAGGGGGAUAACUACUGGCAACGGUAGCUAAUACCGCAUACCAUCAGAUGUGCCCAGAUGGGAUGAGCCAGUAGGGGGGGUAAUGGCUCACCUAGGCGACGAUCCCUAGCUGGUCUGAGAGGAUGACCAGGCACACUGGAACUGAGACACGGUCCAGACGCGGACGGGAGGCAGCAGUGGGGAAUAGUGCACAAUGGGCGCAAGCCUGAUGCAGCCAUGCCGCGUGUGGGAAGAAGGCCGUCGGAUUGUAAAGCACUUUCAGCGAUGAGGCGUUACUCGCAGAAUAAGCACCGGCUAACUCCGUGCCAGCAGCCGCGGUAAUAC
rnacentral:rRNA from 1 species